CUGGACCACGAAGCCAUAAACUAUCAACUAUUCCUGAAGUCUCAAAGUUUGUAGUAGCACAGUCCAUUGGGUUACUAUCAGUUUUGCCAUAAAAACAACUCUCAGAUUCUGGGAAUCCUGUCAAUGCUAUUGCCAACAUAUAUCAACGAGUCUUGUUUUUAAUCUAUCCUAGAACAACAUUGCUGUCAGUGAAAAAUGAGACACUAUCAAAGUGGACGGACACAUUUACAGAAGAAACAAUAUCAAAUACUUCUACAGCCAAAACUGCCGCACAAAGUUCCAAUCUGGGAAUUGUUAUGUCUACCUUUUGGAGCAACCUUGGCUUUUCCAAGAACUAAAUAAUGAGACAAUGUACAAUCAGCUGACAUCGCAAACAAGUAGACAGCUGCAGCAAUAGCUUUUCUGAAGCAUAGGAGUUGACUUGUAGCAGCUCCUUUCUCCUGAUAACACUUAGAGAAACUGGUACUGUUGCUAGGCGUUGCAAAGAGAGAAGUUCCGGAAGUGCUGCCUACAAAAGAAAAAAAAACACAACAACUGGUACUCUCCGGUCCAAAACACCAGCGAUCGGAAAGGACAGCAGGAAAGUUCUAGCGAAAGAAGGAUGACAGUAUGAAACAAGUGAGCAAGCUGACAAAGCCGCAACUUCAGGCAGCAAUUACGAGGGCAAUCGAAAUGGAGCCAGUGUGCAUGCUACUUGUUUUAGCAGCCCCAGGCAAUCAACUUGGAGGUAGUUCCCACGAGCCCGAGAAAGGGAUUAGAACUCCACGCUAAUAUGUGUGCGGCAUCUGCCGGGACAUGUCAACACAAAGAGAAAGAGUUUGUCGGGAAGCUCGUUUUUCUUAUACUGCUUUUAAAAUCUUAUCGAAACUAAAAUUCAACAUUUAUCUAAGACACGAGUGUAACUAAACGUUAGGUAAAGUAGAUAUAGAUAAACAAUUUUAUUUAAUGUCAUGUGUCAUUAAAAGAUAAUUGUCUAUUGUUUAAUACUGCUGGUCAGUUCUUGAGAUUUUAACUGACAAAUGGAUACCUGAGAACACAUUUUCUACUGAUUACUGCUAACGUAGUCUUGUGAAUUUUCAAAGAACAGCAAUCUGAGUAUCAUCGUAUGGCUUAAAAUAUCUUAACAGGCAUGUAGUCACACACAGAUAGAACAAAUUGAAUUGUUGGAAGAUAUGAAAUAUGGGCAGUUUUCUUGUAUUAAACAGUUGUAAGAUAUUUUAAAUGCUGGCACAGUUUGACUCUAUUGACCUGCGAUGA